CCUGCUGCCGCGGGUGCACUUUGCAUUGAAGUCCAAGGCAGCCCCGCAACCCUUAGAAUAGCGGCGCCCAAGCAUCCCCCAGCUUCGCCUCCCGCAGGUUCUCCCCCUUUAGAGGCUGUUCAAAGAGAUCCGCCUCUGGCUUAGCCCAUGCUGCCGGGUAAAGUCGGUUGGGACGGGUGUGUGGCAAGCCGCCUGCCUGUUUCUAACUUUUGUCAUGCGGGUCUAUAGCGGGUUAGACGGUAGCAGGUGGAACGCUCAGCGGUAAAGAGGAGGGGUGAGGCGAGGGAAAGACCCAGCCACUUUCGCAGCCAUUUCCGAGCUCUGCGCGGGGCAGCGGUGCCGGCUGCAGGGCAGCUCCGGGCUCGCACCUCCCUAAGUUUAUCCUCCCCUCCCGGCCGCCACGGCGCGGGCGCUGCUGCGGGGCAGGGAAUGAUGUGCGCAAGAUAUGACGCCAGCGUCUCUUUCCAACAUCACCCAGAAAAUUUUGGGCAAAGACACGGGCAAAAGCACUCGCCAGCCACUGAUGAGUGAGUGAAUGCUGUCAGAUAUAGCCUCCAACACGCCAGGGGAAAUCUGAAACGGUCUCCGGCACAGCUCGGAAAGGAAGAAGCAAGUUUCUUUGCGGUGUCUUAAAAUCCUGCUCGUGAAGAGCUAGAGCGAAGACAUGUGGAAGUUGACUUUUUCCCAAGGUCCAGCACUGGACCCAGCUCAUUCUACCCAUCCAGGGUUCAUCUAAGUGUCCUUAACCUGACUCUGAUCAUUUUUAAACAGCCCUACCCCAUCUCAAUUUUGCAUAGGGGGAUGCUUGCUUGCAAAAAUUGUUUAAUAAUAAGUUGUUUGCAAAUCACUCCACCUAGAAAACUGUAAAUCAGAUUAUAUUUUAAGAUUUGCACUGCCGUCUACACGCAGAGGACCAUUUUGAGCCCUGGGAACGGUUACCACAUCCUUAUUCUUUGCUGUGGAGUGGACUGGGACAUCGUCCCUUAUAUCAUCCAAGAUCCAGCAGCUCCCGCUUGCCCCUGAUGCUUGUGACAAACAAAGGCACGCGCAGGGGGAUUCUUAUUUGCAAGACUGUUUAACUUCUCUUAUUUGAUUUGCACGACUAGAAUCAUGUGUUUCUGCCACUUCCUCUUGUGCAGAUUCUAGCGUCCUAACUUGCAAUAUCCAUUUACUUAAAAAUUUCUCUAUAGAGAACUAGAGCAAUGUUAUUCCUUCAUGAGGAUAACUAAGCAACUGCUGUUCUUGGACGUGAACACUUAAUUAUAUGAUGCAUGUUUAGGGCUGCGUAUCUAGCAUUUUUACAGCCAUUUUGAGGAAAGAUUCUUCAACCAUUUGUGAAAUUGACAGGUUUCCCUUUGUCACGGAGUGUGGGGGGAGGCAGGGUCCUACACACCUCUUUCUGGGAUUCACCCAGACUCUCAGCCAGCCAGUAAAAUGGAAGGUUUAUUGGACGAUAGGAACACAGUGCCAAACAGAGCGUGUAGGUACAACGGGGACCCCUCAGUCAAGUCCUUCUAGGGGGCAGAGAGCUUAGACCCCAGCCUUGGGGUUCCCUGUGUUUCACCACCCAGCUCCCAAACCGAAAACAAAAACCCCUCCUGCAGGUUCUCUCACACUCCCCCCAGCUCAUCCUCUAGCCUUUGUCCAGUUUCCAAGGCAAAGGUGUCAGCUCUCCCACCCCCUCUCCUAGCUCAUGUUACAGCCUCAAGUAUCUUCCUUCAGGGGAAGUCUUCACUCCCCAAUGCACAGUCCUAGUGAACCUCCCUGGCAACACUCCCAGGUCAAAUCUGCCCCACUCCCUGCUGAAUUACACCCUUUGAAACCACUGGAACUUUACAUGCUAAGUAAAACAAUCAGCAAAAUUGGCAAACUUGCUUUAGGAAAGAGGCAUGUUUCAGGAAUUUUCUGCUCAGUAACAGGAAGACCGAUUUACUGUACAUCCUUAAUUAUUCAACUACUGGAUAUGUUUAAAUAAAGGUUAACUGCACUCCCCUUUACUUCGGAAUUUAAAAAAAAAAAUCAGUACACCUCUUCUUCUCUCCCCCCACUUUAAAGACCAAUCACUACACCUCAUGGUCCCUUUGAUAUAGUGUUUCAUGGCUGCCUACAGCUCUGAAAGUUGGAUGAAGGGUGCAGCUGAGUCUUUCAGCUUCCAAAACACCUGUACAAUAUGCUUCUCUGAAAAGCAACACUAGGGAUUUUUUUUAAUACAUUAUAUAAAUCAGUUUAGUUAAACCAGUGAAAGCAAUGCAUGACAGUUAAGUCAGUCAGUUUACAAGGGUUUAUAUCUACUUAGCUUCAGGUGCCAGUUAUACAAGUUAAAAAGGAAGAUGUCAUGAGAAAAAUGUUUAUUCCUGUUCAGAAACCAAAUGGUUGUUUUUGGUGAAAAAAUCUACUGUACAAUUGUGAGCUAUAGUUUCCUUUGCAAGCAGAGAUAAAUAGUAGUUUUUUUCUUGUAGUGAAAAGUUUUUGCAAGGUAAGUAGUAAUUGUCAAUUAGUAAGGGCAGCUUCAGUGAGAGGAAACAUUUCCUUUCUGUUCAACAGAAGCUCUUCCUUCAGCUGCUAUAGUCAACACCACUUGUCAGUACUGUAUCUGAGGUGUCCUGUGUCUCAACCUUUGGAUGUGAGUGUAACAUACUAUAGCUUGGGGGAGUGUCUUGUAACUCCCAUAUUCCUCAUCUGUAUAGAAGUCUGAUAUUGCAUAUAAAGCAUGCCAUGUGAGGUAUCAGGGAAAAGGUUAUGUUCGGCUGAAAAAAAAAAUCACUGCUCUAUCUAAGUAUGUAUAUCUUUAAUGCGUAUGAAGUUAUGAGAUUGUGUUGUAUGGUUGUCACUAAAACAUGAUGUAAGUUAGGGAAUCAGGCAGAUUAGUUUCCCAGAAGCAACAGAAAUGAAAGUAACCAAUGCCCAGGUAGGGUGUCAAAACACCCCAUCAGUAGCCAUUGGCCAGCAAGGGAGCUACAAUUCAAUGACUCACCUGCAUAAGGCUACAUCAGGGAAAUUGCUCAACCUGGCUUGGAGACUCAGCAAUGCCCCCACAGACAUGCCUGGACUUGUGCAUUCCCCCUGCACAUGGGACUGAGGGUAUAAAACAGAGCAGGCCCAUGUUUGCCUUUCUCCUGCACCCACCUCAUGCUGCAAGCAACAAGGACACUGAGCAGACUUAAAGCAGAGGAGGCUGGCCAGAUUUCAAUGGUGAAAUCUUUGUGCUAUGAACUGCAGUAUCCAGUCAUGUGAGGAAAACUGGUUAGUCUUGUUGUUUCCCAAUCUAAUAGGGGUGAGACUUUAGAUUGCAUACUUAUAUUUUAUUUCUUUUGAUAACUGACUUCCCCCCAUCACUUAAAAACCUAUCUUUUGUAGUCAAUAAAUUUGUUUUAGUGUUUAUCUUUA